rnacentral:rRNA from 1 species
UACGUAGGGACCAAGCGUUGUUCGGAUUUACGGGGCGUAAAGGGCGCGUAGGCGGCGUGGUAAGUCACUUGUGAAAUCUCCGAGCUUAACUCGGAACGGUCAAGUGAUACUGCUGUGCUAGAGUACAGAAGGGGCAAUCGGAAUUCUUGGUGUAGCGGUGAAAUGCGUAGAUAUCAAGAGGAACACCUGAGGUGAAGACGGGUUGCUGGGCUGAUACUGACGCUGAGGCGCGAAAGCUAGGGUAGCAAACGGG